rnacentral:rRNA from 1 species
UACGUAGGUGGCAAGCGUUGUCCGGAUUUACUGGGCGUAAAGAGCGCGCAGGCGGUCGUUCAAGUCGCGUGUGAAAGCCCCCGGCUCAACUGGGGAGGGUCACGCGAUACUGAUCGACUCGAAGGCAGGAGAGGGUAGUGGAAUUCCCGGUGUAGUGGUGAAAUGCGUAGAUAUCGGGAGGAACAUCAGUGGCGAAGGCGACUACCUGGCCUGUUUCUUGACGCUGAGGCGCGAAAGCUAGGGGAGCAAACGGGGAU